UACGUAGGAUCCAAGCGUUAUCCGGAAUUACUGGGCGUAAAGCGUACGUAGGUGGAGAUUUAAGUGAGAUGCGAAAUCUGGCGGCUCAACCGUCUAGACUGUGUCUCAUACUGGGUUUCUUGAGGUUGGCAGGGGCAAGUGGAAUUUCCGGUGUAGCAGUGAAAUGCGUAGAGAUCGGAAGGAACACCAAUGGCGAAGGCAGCUUGCUGGGCCACACCUGACACUGAGGUACGAAAGCGUGGGGAGCGAACAGG
rnacentral:rRNA from 1 species